CUGCGGAAGGAUCAUUACCGAGUGCGGGCCCUCUGGGUCCAACCUCCCAUCCGUGUCUAUCUGUACCCUGUUGCUUCGGCGUGGCCACGGCCCGCCGAAGACUAACAUUUGAACACUGUCUGAAGUUUGCAGUCUGAGUUUUUAGUUAAACAAUAAUUAAAACUUUCAACAACGGAUCUCUUGGUUCCGGCAUCGAUGAAGAACGCAGCGAAAUGCGAUAAUUAAUGUGAAUUGCAGAAUUCAGUGAAUCAUCGAGUCUUUGAACGCACAUUGCGCCCCCUGGUAUUCCGGGGGGCAUGCCUGUCCGAGCGUCAUUGCUGCCCUCAAGCACGGCUUGUGUGUUGGGCUUCCGUCCCUGGUAACGGGGACGGGCCCAAAAGGCAGUGGCGGCACCAUGUCUGGUCCUCGAGCGUAUGGGGCUUUGUCACCCGCUCCCGUAGGUCCAGCUGGCAGCUAGCCUCGCAACCAAUCUUUUUAACCAGGUGACCUC
rnacentral:rRNA from 1 species